rnacentral:rRNA from 1 species
UACGGAGGGGGUUAGCGUUGUUCGGAAUUACUGGGCGUAAAGCGCGCGUAGGCGGAUUGGAAAGUUAGGGGUGAAAUCCCGGGGCUCAACCUCGGAACUGCCUCUAAAACUCCUGGUCUUGAGUUCGAGAGAGGUGAGUGGAAUUGCGAGUGUAGAGGUGAAAUUCGUAGAUAUUCGCAGGAACACCAGUGGCGAAGGCGGCUCACUGGCUCGAUACUGACGCUGAGGUGCGAAAGCGUGGGGAGCAAACAGG